rnacentral:lncRNA from 1 species
AAACCUUUGCCAAACUUGAAUCUUAAAUAAUCAUCUAGUGCCAAGACAAGCUCAUACAUUUGCCACAAACAAGGGAAAUUAAUCAUACAAAUGCUUGCGAGAAUCUGUAAUAUAGCAUAUAAGAGUGAUUCACGACAAGACACAAAAAGUGCAAUCGACACAAUGAGUAAGAGAGCAGUGAUCAGAAUCAAAUAACUAGGAGGGCCAUUUAUGAACAAAAGAGGAGCAGACACAUAGAAUAGAUCAUUCAAGAAGCUAAACGGCUAUCCAAAAAUUCUAUUAGACAGAGAGGAA